GGGAAAAUCGCAGCAAAGUUCGCACACUCAACAACUGCAGAAGUUAAAACAUUUGGCUAAGUCAGAAGAGUAGGUGAAGUAGCCCUGUUGACAGGCUUGGUAGGUGGACAAAAGGCUGACCAAAAAUCCCUUAAUUCGGGGGAUAAGAUCACUGAAGCAAGGUCUUUCGAGGGAUGAGAGAGAGCAGACGAGAGGGAGGGGAGAGAGCUCGGAAUCGUUCCCCAAAGAGGCCCUCAGAAGCAACUCCAGAAAAGCAAACCCAGAAAUUCCAGAUCAACCUUUUGAGAGAAAAGUGAGAUUUUCACAACCCUUCGGCAAAAAUUAGCCAAAACCUCCAACUAGAGAGUGAAACUUCAUUCAAAGAUCUUUCCAACCAUAGGUCGCACGUCCCAAAUUGAGAUGGGGAAGGCCUCCUAAAGCCCCCCGAAACAGUGCCCUCCUGGCGGGCCGAGAAAGUCCGAAAAUUUUUCUAAGUGUUGAGACUGGUUGGUCACGAGUGAGGAAAGCCAGUGUUUUUGAGAAAUUUGAGAGACAAAUGAGGAAAAUCUUGACUUUUAACCCAAACUAGAAUACAUAUAGUUUGGCGUGGUGUCAAUUUUUCCAACAAAAUACGUCUUGAAGUCUAAUGUUAGAGGUCAAUGAAAACCUUCGUUGUCAGUUCCUUUUUUUUGCAAAUCUCAUUUCCAGUUGAAGAAGCCAACUUCCACAGGCCCCCGAGGAUAAUUUGUCGGUUUCAUCGGCCAAUAACCACUUGAAAAGGAAACUAAGAAGCAAGGUAAGCAUCCUAGAUGUAUUUAUUUUCGAUUUUGAGCAUGUUUUGAUCAUGAAAAUCAAGAGUAAAACCAGCCCGGAAAACUGAUUUCUGAUGCUGAAAUUUUUCUAAGUGUUUGAAAUCUCUUCAGGAGUUUUGCAUGUGUGCUUCUUGGAGAGGUCGUUUUGAUGUUUUUCGGUGAGUCAUUCUCCAUUAUGUUUGUUGCAUUUGAAAGCCCAUGUUACCUACUUUCACGUGGAUUAAGUAGCAUUUCCCUUAGAUCUCGCAUGUGAUGAGUGUUGGGGCUUGAAUAUGGGCAUGUAACCUAUUUGCUUGACUUAGGUUCAAACCCAGAUUUGCAAAAUCAGCUCAAACCCGUGCAUUUGAGGACGAUUUUAGCUUGGUUCUAGUGUGUUUUUAGCUAUGAUUUCUAUCUAAUCUUGUUCUUUGCAUGUGGUAGUAUAAUCUUGAUACUUUAGUUCCAUAUGAGAUUGCUUAUAAGUGGAGAUUGAAGGCUGCAAACAUGGCUCGAGGAGGCUAUUGGGGCUAGUUUAAUGCAUACCAAGUGUUCGACAAAAUGCCCAAACUAAGCUUCGAUCUUGAAACGGUCGAUUUGAGCUUGAUUAUUGUGAUAUUCAUGUGCUGUAUUACUCCAUGUUAGCAUAGAUCGGUUUAAGGAAUUAUUAUUAUUUUUUAAAAAAAAAUAAUUAAAAAAAGAGAAAAAUAUGAAAAUUUCAAAAAUAUCAAAAAAAAAUGUUAGAUAGCAUCAAAUUAGGAUAUAAAUGACAUAUAUGAAAUUUUCCUAAUUUUAAAAGGUAAUUUUCCUAAUUUAAUGCUAUUUUGGUAUUUUAUAACCAUUUUUGUAAACAAUCCAUUUUGCGUAGAUUAAAACUAUUUAAAGUAAUUUCAUGCAUAUAGAGUAAUUUCAUGCAUAUUUGAAUUCUCAUUUUGCUCAUGGGGGUCCUGUCCCGGGGCGUGAUAACAAGGCCAUGUAAUAUUAUUUGCUCGACUUGUAUCGGGUUUACCUUUUCCGCAUUUAUUUUCUU
rnacentral:lncRNA from 1 species